GAUGAACGCUAGCGGCAGGCCUAACACAUGCAAGUCGAGGGGCAGCACAGAAACAGCAAUGUUUUGGUGGCGACCGGCGGACGGGUGCGUAACGCGUAUGCAACCUACCUUUAACAGGGGGAUAACGGAGAGAAAUUUCCACUAAUACCCCAUAACAUCGAUCAAGGCAUCUUGAUUGGUUGAAAACUCCGGUGGUUAAAGAUGGGCAUGCGUUGUAUUAGGUAGUUGGUGAGGUAAUGGCUCACCAAGCCUACGAUACAUAGGGGGACUGAGAGGUUAGCCCCCCACACUGGUACGGAGACACGAACCAGACUCCUACGGGAGGCAGCAGUGAGGAAUAUUGGUCAAUGGGGGCAACCCUGAACCAGCCAUGCCGCGUACAGGAAGACGGCUCUAUGAGUUGUAAACUGCUUUUAAACAGGGAUAAAGCACAGUAUGUAUACUGUGUUGAAGGUACUGUAAGAAUAAGGAUCGGCUAACUCCGUGCCAGCAGCCGCCGUAA
rnacentral:rRNA from 1 species